rnacentral:rRNA from 1 species
AAAUUGAAGAGUUUGAUCAUGGCUCAGAUUGAACGCUGGCGGCAGGCCUAACACAUGCAAGUCGAGCGGUAGCACAGAGAGCUUGCUCUCGGGUGACGAGCGGCGGACGGGUGAGUAAUGUCUGGGAAACUGCCUGAUGGAGGGGGAUAACUACUGGAAACGGUAGCUAAUACCGCAUAAUGUCGCAAGACCAAAGUGGGGGACCUUCGGGCCUCAUGCCAUCAGAUGUGCCCAGAUGGGAUUAGCUAGUAGGUGGGGUAACGGCUCACCUAGGCGACGAUCCCUAGCUGGUCUGAGAGGAUGACCAGCCACACUGGAACUGAGACACGGUCCAGACUCCUACGGGAGGCAGCAGUGGGGAAUAUUGCACAAUGGGCGCAAGCCUGAUGCAGCCAUGCCGCGUGUGUGAAGAAGGCCUUCGGGUUGUAAAGCACUUUCAGCGGGGAGGAAGGCGGUGAGGUUAAUAACCUCAUCGAUUGACGUUACCCGCAGAAGAAGCACCGGCUAACUCCGUGCCAGCAGCCGCGGUAAUACGGAGGGUGCAAGCGUUAAUCGGAAUUACUGGGCGUAAAGCGCACGCAGGCGGUCUGUCAAGUCGGAUGUGAAAUCCCCCGGGCUCAACCUGGGAACUGCAUUCGAAACUGGCAGGCUAGAGUCUUGUAGAGGGGGGUAGAAUUCCAGGUGUAGCGGUGAAAUGCGUAGAGAUCUGGAGGAAUACCGGUGGCGAAGGCGGCCCCCUGGACAAAGACUGACGCUCAGGUGCGAAAGCGUGGGGAGCAAACAGGAUUAGAUACCCUGGUAGUCCACGCCGUAAACGAUGUCGAUUUGGAGGUUGUGCCCUUGAGGCGUGGCUUCCGGAGCUAACGCGUUAAAUCGACCGCCUGGGGAGUACGGCCGCAAGGUUAAAACUCAAAUGAAUUGACGGGGGCCCGCACAAGCGGUGGAGCAUGUGGUUUAAUUCGAUGCAACGCGAAGAACCUUACCUGGUCUUGACAUCCACAGAACUUUCCAGAGAUGGAUUGGUGCCUUCGGGAACUGUGAGACAGGUGCUGCAUGGCUGUCGUCAGCUCGUGUUGUGAAAUGUUGGGUUAAGUCCCGCAACGAGCGCAACCCUUAUCCUUUGUUGCCAGCGGUCCGGCCGGGAACUCAAAGGAGACUGCCAGUGAUAAACUGGAGGAAGGUGGGGAUGACGUCAAGUCAUCAUGGCCCUUACGACCAGGGCUACACACGUGCUACAAUGGCAUAUACAAAGAGAAGCGACCUCGCGAGAGCAAGCGGACCUCAUAAAGUAUGUCGUAGUCCGGAUUGGAGUCUGCAACUCGACUCCAUGAAGUCGGAAUCGCUAGUAAUCGUAGAUCAGAAUGCUACGGUGAAUACGUUCCCGGGCCUUGUACACACCGCCCGUCACACCAUGGGAGUGGGUUGCAAAAGAAGUAGGUAGCUUAACCUUCGGGAGGGCGCUUACCACUUUGUGAUUCAUGACUGGGGUGAAGUCGUAACAAGGUAACCGUAGGGGAACCUGCGGUUGGAUCACCUCCUUACCUUAAAGAA